rnacentral:rRNA from 1 species
CCUACGGGUGGCUGCAGUGGGGAAUAUUGGACAAUGGGGGGAACCCUGAUCCAGCCAUGCCGCGUGUGUGAAGAAGGCCCUCGGGUUGUAAAGCACUUUCAGUGAGGAAGAACGCCUGGUGGUUAAUACCCAUCAGGAAAGACAUCACUCACAGAAGAAGCACCGGCUAACUCCGUGCCAGCAGCCGCGGUAAUACGGAGGGUGCGAGCGUUAAUCGGAAUUACUGGGCGUAAAGCGCGCGUAGGUGGCUUGAUAAGCCGGUUGUGAAAGCCCCGGGCUCAACCUGGGAACGGCAUCCGGAACUGUCAAGCUAGAGUGCAGGAGAGGAAGGUAGAAUUCCCGGUGUAGCGGUGAAAUGCGUAGAGAUCGGGAGGAAUACCAGUGGCGAAGGCGGCCUUCUGGACUGACACUGACACUGGGGUGCGAAAGCGUGGGUAGCAAACAGGAUUAGAUACCCCAGUAGUC